rnacentral:rRNA from 1 species
CCUACGGGAGGCAGCAGUGAGGAAUAUUGGUCAAUGGACGGAAGUCUGAACCAGCCAUGCCGCGUGCAGGAAGACGGCUCAAUGAGUGGUAAACUGCUUUUGUACAAGGGUAAACCUGAAUACGUGUAUUCAGCUGAAAGUACUGUACGAAUAAGGAUAGGCUAACUCCGUGCCAGCAGCCGCGGUAAUACGGAGGAUCCAAGCGUUAUCCGGAUUUUUUGGGUUUAAAGGGUGCGUAGGCGGAUUGAUAAGUUAGAGGUGAAAUGUCCGAGCUUAACUCGGGAACUGCCUCUAAUACUGUUGAUCUAGAGAGUAGAUGCGGUAGGCGGAAUGUAUGGUGUAGCGGUGAAAUGCUUAGAGAUCAUACAGAACACCGAUUGCGAAGGCAGCUUACCAAUCUAUAUCUGACGUUGAGGCACGAAAGCGUGGGGAGCAAACAGGAUUAGAUACCCGGGUAGUC